GAAAUGCGAUAAGUAGUGUGAAUUGCAGAAUUCCGUGAAUAAUCGAAUCUUUGAACUCACCUUGCGCCUUUUGGUAUUCUGAAAGGCAUGCCUGUUUGAGUGUCAUGAAAUCUCUAUCCCCCCGGGUUUUCUGAACCCGAGGUGGACUUGGACAUGGCUGUCUGCCGUCUCGUACGGCUCGCCUUAAAUGACUCAGUGGGAUCUUCAGCAUCCGUGGCAGACGUAAUAAGUUUCGACUCGUCCCUUGCUGUGCGGACCGCUCAUAACCUGCCAUCGCGCACCACUUUUGACUCUGACCUCAAAUCAGGUAGGACUACCCACUGAACUUAA
rnacentral:misc_RNA from 1 species